AUUGAACGCUGGCGGCAGGCCUAACACAUGCAAGUCGAGCGGAUGACGGGAGCUUGCUCCUUGAUUCAGCGGCGGACGGGUGAGUAAUGCCUAGGAAUCUGCCUGGUAGUGGGGGACAACGUUUCGAAAGGAACGCUAAUACCGCAUACGUCCUACGGGAGAAAGCAGGGGACCUUCGGGCCUGGCGCCAUCAGAUGAGCCUAGGUCGGAUUAGCUAGUUGGUGAGGUAAUGGCUCACCAAGGCGACGAUCCGUAACUGGUCUGAGAGGAUGAUCAGUCACACUGGAACUGAGACACGGUCCAGACUCCUACGGGAGGCAGCAGUGGGGAAUAUUGGACAAUGGGCGAAAGCCUGAUCCAGCCAUGCCGCGUGUGUGAAGAAGGUCUUCGGAUUGUAAAGCACUUUAAGUUGGGAGGAAGGGCAGUAAGCUAAUACCUUGCUGUUUUGACGUUACCGACAGAAUAAGCACCGGCUAACUCUGUGCCAGCAGCCGCCGUAA
rnacentral:rRNA from 1 species